CUGCAUGAGUUGCGUUCUGCUGUAAAUAUGGACAAAGAGUUCAUUUAUGGAAUUUAGUUGAGCAAUGUGUGACUGGUACUUGCUCAUGAAGAACCAUCACACAUGA
rfam:Brachypodium distachyon strain Bd21 chromosome 5, whole genome shotgun sequence.